rnacentral:rRNA from 1 species
UACGUAGGGGGCAAGCGUUGUCCGGAAUCAUUGGGCGUAAAGAGCGUGUAGGCGGCCCGAUAAGUCCGCCGUGAAAGCCCAGGGCUCAACCCUGGGAUGCCGGUGGAUACUGUCGGGCUAGAAUCCGGAAGAGGCGAGUGGAAUUCCCGGUGUAGCGGUGAAAUGCGCAGAUAUCGGGAGGAACACCUAUGGCGAAGGCAGCUCGCUGGGACGUUACUGACGCUGAGACGCGAAAGCGUGGGGAGCAAACAGG